rnacentral:rRNA from 1 species
GAUGAACGCUGGCGGCGUGCCUAAUACAUGCAAGUCGAGCGAACAGACGAGGAGCUUGCUCCUCUGACGUUAGCGGCGGACGGGUGAGUAACACGUGGGUAACCUACCUAUAAGACUGGGAUAAAUUCGGGAAACCGGAGCUAAUACCGGAUAAUAUAUUGAACCGCAUGGUUCAAUAGUGAAAGACGGUUUUGCUGUCACUUAUAGAUGGAUCCGCGCCGCAUUAGCUAGUUGGUAAGGUAACGGCUUACCAAGGCAACGAUGCGUAGCCGACCUGAGAGGGUGAUCGGCCACACUGGAACUGAGACACAGUCCAGACUCCUACGGGAGGCAGCAGUAGGGAAUCUUCCGCAAUGGGCGAAAGCCUGACGGAGCAACGCCGCGUGAGUGAUGAAGGUCUUCGGAUCGUAAAACUCUGUUAUUAGGGAAGAACAAAUGUGUAAGUAACUAUGCACGUCUUGACGGUACCUAAUCAGAAAGCCACGGCUAACUACGUG